rnacentral:snoRNA from 1 species
GAGAAAGUGAUGAUCGUUUCCCCAAAUGAUCGACUCUGAUUAUAUUGUGCGUUUGUUUUACUUAAUUCUC